GCCAGACAGGUGGAGGUGGAGGUGGAGCAUAGGAUGUGGUGUCACUCUGAGGAGCUGCAGACCAGAACGACCAUGAUCCAGAGCCUGGAGACACAACUGGCUGCCGUGGCAGACACACACAACAUGGAGCUACGCUCACGCACUAUGAAGCUGAAGCAGAGCUUUGCUGAGGAGCUGGGUGUGAAACUAGCAGAGGAACGUGUGAUGGAG
rnacentral:lncRNA from 13 species